rnacentral:rRNA from 1 species
AACGAACGCUGGCGGCUGGCUUAACACAUGCAAGUCGAGCGCCCCGCAAGGGGAGCGGCAGACGGGUGAGUAACGCGUGGGAAUCUACCCAUCUCUACGGAAUAACGCAUGGAAACGUGUGCUAAUACCGUAUACGUCCUUCGGGAGAAAGAUUUAUCGGAGAUGGAUGAGCCCGCGUUGGAUUAGCUAGUUGGUGGGGUAAAGGCCUACCAAGGCGACGAUCCAUAGCUGGUCUGAGAGGAUGAUCAGCCAUACUGGGACUGAGACACGGCCCAGACUCCUACGGGAGGCAGCAGUGGGGAAUAUUGGACAAUGGGCGCAAGCCUGAUCCAGCCAUGCCGCGUGAGUGAUGAAGGCCCUAGGGUUGUAAAGCUCUUUCACCGGUGAAGAUAAUGACGGUAACCGGAGAAGAAGCCCCGGCUAACUUCGUGCCAGCCGCCGCAGUAAUAC